CAGUCCCCACGGUAAUACGUAGGUGGCAAGCGUUGUCCGGAUCUAUUGGGCGUAAAGCGAGCGCAGGCGGUUCCUUAAGUCUGAUGUGAAAGCCCCCGGCUCAACCGGGGAGGGUCAUUGGAAACUGGGGAACUUGAGUGCAGAAGAGGAGGGUGGAAUUCCAUGUGUAGCGGUGAAAUGCGUAGAUAUAUGGAGGAACACCAGUGGCGAAGGCGACUCUCUGGUCUGUAACUGACGCUGAGGCCCGAAAGCGUGGGUAGCAAACAGGAUUAGAUACCCGGGUAGUCCCUGUCUCUUAUAC
rnacentral:rRNA from 1 species